rnacentral:rRNA from 1 species
CAGUCGCCGCGGGAAAACGUAGGUGGCAAGCGUUGUCCGGAAUUAUUGGGCGUAAAGGGCUCGCAGGCGGUUUCUUAAGUCUGAUGUGAAAGCCCCCGGCUCAACCGGGGAGGGUCAUUGGAAACUGGGAAACUUGAGUGCAGAAGAGGAGAGUGGAAUUCCACGUGUAGCGGUGAAAUGCGUAGAGAUGUGGAGGAACACCAGUGGCGAAGGCGACUCUCUGGUCUGUAACUGACGCUGAGGAGCGAAAGCGUGGGGAGCGAACAGGAUUAGAUACCCGCGUAGUCCCUGUCUCUUAUAC